ensembl:snoRNA SNORA64 small nucleolar RNA, H/ACA box 64
CCUCUCCCAGCUCUGCAUAGUUGCACUUGGCUUCACCCGUGUGACUUUCGUAAUGGGGAGAGAGAGAAAAGAUCUCCUCAGGACCUCAGAUGGGCCUUACUGUGGCCUCUCUUUACUUGAGGGGCGCAACAGUC